GACGAACGCUGGCGGCGUGCUUAACACAUGCAAGUCGAACGGAAAGGCCCUGCUUUUGUGGGGUGCUCGAGUGGCGAACGGGUGAGUAACACGUGAGUAACCUGCCCUUGACUUUGGGAUAACUUCAGGAAACUGGGGCUAAUACCGGAUAGGAGCUCCUGCUGCAUGGUGGGGGUUGGAAAGUUUCGGCGGUUGGGGAUGGACUCGCGGCUUAUCAGCUUGUUGGUGGGGUAGUGGCUUACCAAGGCUUUGACGGGUAGCCGGCCUGAGAGGGUGACCGGCCACAUUGGGACUGAGAUACGGACCAGACUCCUAGAGGAGGCAGCAGUGGGGAAUAUUGCAAAAUGGGCGGAAGCCUGAUGCAGCAAAGCCGCGUGCGGGAUGACGGCCUUAGGGUUGUAAACCGCUUUCGCCUGUGACGAAGCGUGAGUGACGGUAAUGGGUAAAGAAGCACCGGCUAACUACGUG
rnacentral:rRNA from 1 species